GACGAACGCUGGCGGCGUGCCUAAUACAUGCAAGUCGAGCGAACAGACUUGGAGCUUUCUCCUCUGACGUUAGCUGCGGACGGUUGACUAACACCUGGUUAAUCUACCGUUAGUAAUGUGCUAAUUUCGUUAAACCAGCGCCGAUACACGAUAAUAUAUUGAACCUCAUGCUACAUUAUCACAUGAUCAUUUUGUCGUCGCUUUUCGAUGAAUCCUCGCCGCAUUGGCUAUUAGGUAAGGUAACGGCUUACGAACGCGACGGUGCGUAGCCGACAUGAGAGGGAGGACGGCCACACUGGAACUGAGACACGGUCCAGACUCCGAAGGGAGGACGCAGUAGGGAAUCUUACGCAAGGGGCGAAAGCGUGACGGAGCAAAGCCGCGUGAGUGAUGAAGGUCUUCGGAUCGUAAAACGCUGUUAUUAGGGAAGAACAAAUGUGUAAGUAAGUAGGAAGGUCUUGACGGUACCUAAACAGAAAGCCACGGCUAACUACGUG
rnacentral:rRNA from 1 species